UUUCCCUGUCCUGAGUAGAGUGGCCAUUGGCUAGUGGUGCCCAUCUCUUAUCAGCCAGGAACAAAGCAACUCCUUGUUCAUCCUAACUUGCCUUUUGAUCUGUGUCCAUGCCUGGUUCAUGCUGUAGGUAUACAG
ensembl:snoRNA